GGGGUUGUGGCUUAGUGACAAAGCACUCACCUAUCAUGUGUGAGGCACUGAGUUCGAUUCUCAACACCACA
rnacentral:tRNA from 1 species